GACGAACGCUGGCGGCGUGCCUAAUACAUGCAAGUCGAGCGGACUGAUUAAGAGCUUGCUCUUAUGACGUUAGCGGCGGACGGGUGAGUAACACGUGGGCAACCUGCCCUGUAGAUCGGGAUAACACCGAGAAAUCGGUGCUAAUACCGGGUAAUAUCUGAGAUCACAUGAUCUUAGGUUAAAAGAUGGCUCCGGCUAUCACUACAGGAUGGGCCCGCGGCGCAUUAGCUAGUUGGUAAGGUAAUGGCUUACCAAGGCGACGAUGCGUAGCCGACCUGAGAGGGUGAUCGGCCACACUGGGACUGAGACACGGCCCAGACUCCUACGGGAGGCAGCAGUAGGGAAUCUUCCGCAAUGGACGAAAGUCUGACGGAGCAACGCCGCGUGAGUGAUGAAGGGUUUCGGCUCGUAAAGCUCUGUUGUUAGGGAAGAAACAGUACCGAACGAACUAGGUCGGUACCUUGACGGUACCUAACCAGAAAGCCACGGCGAACUACGU
rnacentral:rRNA from 1 species